rnacentral:tRNA from 1 species
GAGGGUGUAGCUCAGUGGUAGAGUGCAUGCCUAGCAUGCAUGAGGUCCUGGGUUCCAUCUCCAGGGUCUCCA